AGCGGCGGACGGGUGAGUAACACGUGGGUAACCUGCCCAAGAGACUGGGAUAACACCUGGAAACAGAUGCUAAUACCGGAUAACAACACUAGACGCAUGUCUAGAGUUUGAAAGAUGGUUCUGCUAACACUCUUGGAUGGACCUGCGGUGCAUUAGCUAGUUGGUAAGGUAACGGCUUACCAAGGCAAUGAUGCAUAGCCGAGUUGAGAGACUGAUCGGCCACAUUGGGACUGAGACACGGCCCAAACUCCUACGGGAGGCAGCAGUAGGGAAUCUUCCACAAUGGACGAAAGUCUGAUGGAGCAACGCCGCGUGAGUGAAGAAGGGUUUCGGCUCGUAAAGCUCUGUUGGUAGUGAAGAAAGAUAGAGGUAGUAACUGGCCUUUAUUUGACGGUAAUUACUUAGAAAGUCGCGGCUAACUACGUGCCAGCAGCCGCGGUAAUACGUAGGUGGCAAGCGUUGUCCGGAUUUAUUGGGCGUAAAGCGAGUGCAGGCGGUUCAAUAAGUCUGAUGUGAAAGCCUUCGGCUCAACCGGAGAAUUGCAUCAGAAACUGUUGAACUUGAGUGCAGAAGAGGAGAGUGGAACUCCAUGUGUAGCGGUGGAAUGCGUAGAUAUAUGGAAGAACACCAGUGGCGAAAGCGGCUCUCUGGUCUGCAACUGACGCUGAGGCUCGAAAGCAUGGGUAGCGAACAGGAUUAGAUACCCUGGUAGUCCAUGCCGUAAACGAUGAGUGCUAAGUGU
rnacentral:rRNA from 1 species